GACGGUAUUUAAUUUUUUAGAGGAAUAUGUAAUUUAAUCGUCAUUACACGUUAAUUUUACUUAUUUUAUUUUUGUAUACCACCGUUAAUAGAUUUUAUUAUAUAUUUUAAUAAAUUUCUAAAUAAACUAAUUUUAUUAUAUCAGGUCAAGGUGCAAAACAAAUAAGUUAUUAUGUAUUACAUUCAAAUAUAUUGUAAUGGAAAAUUAUUGAAAUUUUAUUUGAAAUUGAAUCUACAAGUAAAAUAAUAAUAAAAUAUUAUUUGAAAUAAUAUUAAAU
rnacentral:rRNA from 1 species